UUUAACAUGAGAGUUUGAUCCUGGCUCAGGAUGAACGCUGGCGGCGUGCUUAACACAUGCAAGUCGAACGAAGCAAUCUAACGGAAGUUUUCGGAUGGAAGCUAGAUUGACUGAGUGGCGGACGGGUGAGUAACGCGUGGGUAACCUGCCUCACACUGGGGGACAACAGUUAGAAAUGACUGCUAAUACCGCAUAAGCGCACGGGAUCGCAUGGUCCAGUGUGAAAAACUCCGGUGGUGUGAGAUGGACCCGCGUUUGAUUAGCUAGUUGGUGGGGUAACGGCCUACCAAGGCGACGAUCAAUAGCCGACCUGAGAGGGUGACCGGCCACAUUGGGACUGAGACACGGCCCAAACUCCUACGGGAGGCAGCAGUGGGGAAUAUUGCACAAUGGGGGAAACCCUGAUGCAGCGACGCCGCGUGAGUGAAGAAGUAUUUCGGUAUGUAAAGCUCUAUCAGCAGGGAAGAAAAUGACGGUACCUGACUAAGAAG
rnacentral:rRNA from 2 species